rnacentral:rRNA from 1 species
UACGGGGGGAGCAAGCGUUGUUCGGAUUUACUGGGCGUAAAGGGCGCGUAGGCGGCCAGCACAAGUCGGUUGUGAAAUCUCCGGGCUUAACUCGGAAAGGUCAACCGAUACUGGCGGGCUAGAGUGCGGUAGAGGAGAGUGGAAUUCCCGGUGUAGCAGUGAAAUGCGUAGAGAUCGGGAGGAACAUCAGUUGCGAAGGCGGCUCUCUGGACCAGCACUGACACUGAGGCACGAAAGCGUGGGGAGCAAACAGG